UGGGGAAUUUUGGACAAUGGGGGAAACCCUGAUCCAGCCAUCCCGCGUGUGCGAUGAAGGCCUUCGGGUUGUAAAGCACUUUUGGCAGGAAAGAAACGUCAUGGGUUAAUACCCCGUGAAACUGACGGUACCUGCAGAAUAAGCACCGGCUAACUACGUGCCAGCAGCCGCGGUAAUACGUAGGGUGCAAGAGUUAAUCGGAAUUACUGGGCGUAAAGCGUGCGCAGGCGGUUCGGAAAGAAAGAUGUGAAAUCCCAGAGCUCAACUUUGGAACUGCAUUUUUAACUACCGGGCUAGAGUGUGUCAGAGGGAGGUGGAAUUCCGCGUGUAGCAGUGAAAUGCGUAGAUAUGCGGAGGAACACCGAUGGCGAAGGCAGCCUCCUGAGAUAACACUGACGCUCAUGCACGAAAGCGUGGGGAGCAAACAGG
rnacentral:rRNA from 1 species